rnacentral:rRNA from 1 species
CCUACGGGUGGCUGCAGUGGGGAAUAUUGGACAAUGGGGGCAACCCUGAUCCUGCCAUGCCGCGUGUGUGAAGAAGGCCCUCGGGUUGUAAAGCACUUUCAGUGAGGAAGAACGCCUGGUGGUUAAUACCCAUCAGGAAAGACAUCACUCACAGAAGAAGCACCGGCUAACUCCGUGCCAGCAGCCGCGGUAAUACGGAGGGUGCGAGCGUUAAUCGGAAUUACUGGGCGUAAAGCGCGCGUAGGUGGCUUGAUAAGCCGGUUGUGAAAGCCCCGGGCUCAACCUGGGAACGGCAUCCGGAACUGUCAAGCUAGAGUGCAGGAGAGGAAGGUAGAAUUCCCGGUGUAGCGGUGAAAUGCGUAGAGAUCGGGAGGAAUACCAGUGGCGAAGGCGGCCUUCUGGAAUGACACUGACACUGAGGUGCGAAAGCGUGGGUAGCAAACAGGAUUCGAUACCCUUGUAGUC